rnacentral:rRNA from 1 species
AUUGAACGCUGGCGGCAUGCUUUACACAUGCAAGUCGAACGGUAACAGGUUAAGCUGACGAGUGGCGAACGGGUGAGUAAUGCAUCGGAACGUGCCUUUUGGUUCGGAACAACUCAGGGAAACUUGAGCUAAUACCGAAUGUGCCCUUCGGGGGAAAGAUUUAUCGCCAUUAGAGCGGCCCGCGUCUGAUUAGCUAGUUGGUGAGGUAAUGGCUCACCAAGGCGACGAUCAGUAGCUGGUCUGAGAGGAUGAUCAGCCACACUGGGACUGAGACACGGCCCAGACUCCUACGGGAGGCAGCAGUGGGGAAUCUUGCGCAAUGGGCGAAAGCCUGACGCAGCCAUGCCGCGUGAAUGAUGAAGGUCUUAGGAUUGUAAAAUUCUUUCACCGGGGACGAUAAUGACGGUACCCGGAGAAGAAGCUCCGGCUAACUUCGUG